rnacentral:rRNA from 1 species
ACGAACGCUGGCGGCGUGCCUCAUCCAUGCAAGUAGAACGCUGAAGAGAGGAGCUUGCUCUUCUUGGAUGAGUUGCGAACGGGUGAGUAACGCGUAGGUAACCUGCCUUGUAGCGGGGGAUAACUAUUGGAAACGAUAGCUAAUACCGCAUAACAAUGGAUGACCCAUGUCAUUUAUUUGAAAGGGGCAAAUGCUCCACUACAAGAUGGACCUGCGUUGUAUUAGCUAGUAGGUGAGGUAACGGCUCACCUAGGCGACGAUACAUAGCCGACCUGAGAGGGUGAUCGGCCACACUGGGACUGAGACACGGCCCAGACUCCUACGGGAGGCAGCAGUAGGGAAUCUUCGGCAAUGGGGGCAACCCUGACCGAGCAACGCCGCGUGAGUGAAGAAGGUUUUCGGAUCGUAAAGCUCUGUUGUAAGUCAAGAACGAGUGUGAGAGUGGAAAGUUCACACUGUGACGGUAGCUUACCAGAAAGGGACGGCUAACUACGUG